AGUACAUCCUACUGACUCCAUUAGGUGGAUGGCUUGGUUCGAGAUACCGAAGAAGGGCGAGGCAAGCUUCGAAAUGCCUGGGCGAGACGCACGCAGUCUUUGAACCCGGGAUUCCUGAAUGAGACUUCUUAAUCCUUCGGGAUUGAUCCUUUAUUGGAUCGGGAACGCGGUGAAUUGAAACGUCUUAGUAACCGCAGGAAAAGAAAUCAAUAGAGAUGCUGUUAGUAUCAGCGAGAGAAAACAGCACAGAGCAAACCGAAUCCUUCAUGGAAACGUGAAGGAGAUGUGGUGUUGUAAGACUCGCUUUUAAUCCUCACCGGAUAAGUCGAAGUCCCCUGGAACGGGGCGCCAUAGAGAGUGACAGACUCGUAGACAAAAUCCGGAAAGAUGUGCGAGUAUCUUGAGUACCGUUCAUCGGAAAUUGAACGGGAAUUUGGGAAGCAUCAAUUCCCAACUCUAAACAUGUCUCGAAACCGAUAGCAAACACAGUACAGCGAUGGAAAGUUGAAAAGUACCCGUAAAAGGGAGUGAAAAGAACCUGAAACCUAGUGGAAAUUGAGAGAUACUGCUCUUAGGAGUUGUAUCGUACGUUUUGAAUAACGGGCCAGGGAGUGCACUUGAGUGGCGAGAGUAAACGUGUUAAGCGUGAACUCGUAGCGAAAGCGAUAACUCGCAGCUUGCGAGGAGUGAGGUAUGAAAAUGCCUAAAGUCACUUGAGUGCGACCCGAAACCGCCCGAUCUAUUCCAGGGUAAGUUGAAGCGGGGGUAAUACCUCGUGGAGGACUGAAGCGGUGCUGCGUGCAUGCGUUCGUCUAACUUUGGAAUAGAGGUGAAAAGCCAAUCGAGGGCGGUGAUAGCUGGUUCCUACCGAAAUGGGCCGCAGUCCAGUCUCGACGGAGAUCGUUAAUAUGGUAGAGCUACGGAUUUGGAAUGUAGGAGGGGAAACCCUUCGCUUCCUUGUUCAACUCCGAAUGUAUUAACAUCAUAGAAGUCGGGAAACGGGGGCACUGGGGUAAACUUGUGUCUCUAUAGGGGAACAACCCUAUAUAUAGUUAAGGUCCCAAAAUGCCGGUUAAGUGUUAAAGGCAGAAAGGUGUGUACGACCAUAGACAGCGAGGAGGUAUGCUCAGAAGCAGCAAUCCUAUAAUAAGUGCGUAAUAGCUUACUUGUCAAGGUCGUAUGCCCUGAAAAUGGACGGGGCUAAACCGGUUACCGAUACUAUAUUACAAAGUAUAAUCUUUGAUACGUAGGUAGGCGUUCUGUCAGGCUAGAAUCUUUUACAUAAGUAGAAGUGGACCUGGCGGAAAUGAGAAUCCUGGCAUCAGUAGGAUCGAUAUAGGGUGAGACUCCCUAACGCCGAAAGAGUAAGGGUUCCUUAGCAAUGUAGUUCAGCUAAGGGUAAGUUAGUCCUAACACAACACCUAAUAGGUAGUUGCGGAAAGGGAAAAAGGUUAAGAUUCCUUUACCAUUUAAGUACACGCGGCAACGCAAGUUUAGUUUCUGACGCUUCGGGCUAGAUUAACAUUUCUCGUCGGGAAUGCUAACCGUGACAAAUCAAGGAAGUAUCGUAACGAUGAGAACUUGAUUAAACUCGGGAAUGGCCGGCCUUGCGCCGGUUUGAUUGAUGCCUGGAGCCCGUGAAAAAGGAACUAAUCGGAUCUUGAAUGACUAUACCCAGAACCAGCACUGGUUCUCUAGAUGAGAAGUCUAAGGCGUGAGGGUUUAAUCCAAUCCAGGGAAAUCGGCAAUUUAGCUCCGUAUCUUCGGUACAAGGAGUUCCUGCGAUCGUGACCUUUAUGGUUGGCGAUUACAGGAGUCACUAACGAGGGGGGCCCGUCUGUUUAACAAAAACGCCGCUUUUCGCAAGCCUGAAAAGGUUAGUAUGGAAAGCCACGUCUGCCCAGUGCCCGUACUUUAAACCUCCUUCCAAGGGGGCUAAGAGCGGGUAAACGGCGGGAAUAACUAUAAUUCUCUUAAGGUAGCGUAAUACCUUGUCGUUUGAUUGGCGACUUGCAUGAAUGGCGUAACGAGGUUUCCACUGUCCCGGGUUGGAGUCCCCCGAACCUAACAUUCUGGUGUGAAGUCCAGAGAUUCCCAGUGGGAAGCGAAGACCCCGUAGAACUUUACUGUAGUUUGAUGUUGCGGUGCAAGUUUCGUUGUGCAGCAUAGGUGGGAGUUGCUUGAGGCAAGACCGCUAGGUUAUUGCUGAGACGAAAAUGAGAUACCACCCUUCGAAGUUUGCAUUGCUUACUCUCUUCGGAGAGGACACCAUUAGAUAGACAGUUUGGCUGGGGCGGCACCCCGCUGAAAAGAUAUCAGUGGGGCCCUAAGGUAGGCUCAUCCCGUUUAGAAAUCGGGAGUUGAGUGCAAGAGCAAAAGCCUGCCUGACUGUAAUCCUAACAAUAUGGGUUGCAGAGACGAAAGUCGGGUCUAGCGAACUCCUAUGUCCUCCUUGAUGGGGGCUAGGCAUGACAGAAAAGCUAUCUCGGGCAUAAUUGAGUUGUAGCGCCUAAGAGCUCAAAUCGACGGCGCUGUUUGCUACUUCGAUGUCGGCUCAUCGCAUCCUGGGCGUGCAGAAGCGUCCAAGGGUACGGGUGUUCACCGGUUAAAGCGGUUCGUGAGCUGGGUUAAAUACGUUGUGAGACAGUAUGUAUGAUAUCUACUGGGAAUGUUUAACGUCUGAGGGGAAGGAUUCUCUAGUACGAGAGGAACGAGAGUUCGGUGCCUCUGGUGCAUCGGUUGUCUGACAAGGCAGGCCGAGCAGCUACGCACUACAUUCAUAAGUUCUGAAAGCAUCUAAGAACGAAAGAUACCUCAAAAAUAGACG
rnacentral:rRNA from 1 species